CAAUGAGAGACAUAACUAAAAACAACUUAGUCUCUUCAAUUCUCCUGUUCUCUAUGCUUAGAGUCAUGCUUGGCAAAGUUCUGAUGGCUGGGAAUUAAAAAGCAGCCCAGACUGCUCUACUUGGCAUGGACUCUCCCAGUAGGGUUCCUCCUAAGAAAAUACAGAGGCCCGGGUUCUUGGCCAGCAGUGAGCGGAUUGGCUGAAGAGAUUUCUCCAUGCUUCCCAAAGCUCUAAGG